CGGCGCGGCGUUCCAGCACCACCGUGCUCAAUGCUCAUCCCAGGCGUGGACGCCGGCGGGCCCUGGCGAGCUCCUCCGCGCUCCUUCGCGCUCCUUUUUAUUUCUAAAAUACUCCUAAAAUCCUGCUUCCAUAAAAGAAGAUCAGGUGGCGCCCCUCCCCUGCGCCCAUCCCUUCCAACGCACGGCGGCAUGGUCAGAGCUUCCCCUGCAGGAAUCUUCAUCAGCGCCUCCUUCCCUGCCACCGGAUACAUGGCGACAGCAGGGGUGGCCGUGAAUAGCCCCUUUCCCCAGAUCCACCAGGACAGCGGUAGCCCUUGGAGGCAUGGCGUGUUCAUCCAUGCGUCGUCCCUCGAGGUCGGGCCCUGCGGUGGUGGCCUUUUCCCCUCCAGCACAGCGACGUCAUCGCUGGCCCUCAGCCCCUGCCCACGGUGAAAUCAAGAUGCGAUGGACAUCAACGACGAAAUCUAGGGCUCUAUCCUUGCACGACUGAGGAUUCGCAGAGAUGAAGGAAAUCACAUCAGCCAUGUAGGUGACCAUGAUACGCCACUCUUGUGGAUCAGGAGUGGUGAGUGAUGACCUCCAUUGCGCCUCUCUUACGUGUUUUUUGAUUGCUAAUCAAUUUCUCUAGUUGUGAACUGGAAGUGCUAAUCAGA